UUUUUUUUUUUUUUUUUUUUUUUUUGCCAUUUCUUGGGCCGCUCCUGUGGCAUAUGGAGGUUCCCAGGCUAGGGGUCGAAUCGGAGCUGUAGCCGCUGGCCUACGCCAGAACCACAGCAACACAGGAUCCGAGCCGCGUCUUCGACCUACACCACAGCUCACGGCAACGCCGGAUCGUUAACCCACUGAGCAAGGCCAGGGACCGAACCCGCAACCUCAUGGUUCCUAGUCGGAUUCAUUAACCACUGCGCCACGACAGGAACUCCUCUUGGGAAUAUUCUUAAGCAUGGAAUUGUAGGGUCAUAUGGUAAUUCUACCUUGAAACUUUUGGAGAAACCAUCAAACUGUUUUCCACAGCAGCUGUACCAUUUUACAUUCCCACCAGUAUGAGGGUUCCAAUUUCUCCACAUCCCCACCAAUACCUGUUAUUAUCUUUUUUUUUUUUUUUUGUCUUUUUAGGGCCGCACCCGCAGCAUAUGGAGGUUCCCAGGCUAGGGGUCGAAUCGGAGCUACAGCUGCUGGCCUACACCACAGCCACAGCCAUGCCAGUUCUGAGCCGCGUCUGUGACCUACACCACAGCUCAUGGCAAUGCCGGAUCCUUAACCCACUGAGGAGGCCAGGAAUCGAACACACAUCCUCAUGGAUACUAGUUGUGUCCAUUUCCACUGAGCCACAGUGGGAACUCUCCUUUUGUCUACUUUUUAAUUGUGUUGGCUUUCUGUUAAAUUUUCAGAGUCCUUCAUAUCUACUCAGGAGGUUAAACCCUUACCAGAUAUAUGAUUUGAAAAUAUUCUCUCCCAUUCUGUAGGCUGUCUUUUUCACAAUCUUGAUAAUGUCCUUUGGUAGACAAUAUUUUCAAAAUGGUUAUGAAGUCCAAUUUAUACAUGGACUUUUGUUGCUCUUGUUCUGGGCGUCAAAAAUCUAAGAAUCCAUUGCCAAAUCUUAGGUCAUGAAGAUUUACCCUGUGUUGUCUUCUAAUCGUUUUUAGCCCUUGGAUUUAGGUUGUUGGUCUAUUUUGAGUUAAUUUUUGUGCAUGGUGCUGUACUGCAAUGGUUAGUUUUCUUAGGCUGAACCAUCCUUGUGUUCCCAGGGUAAAUUCCACUUGGUCACGGUGUAGAGUCCUCUCUCAGUGUGUUGCUGGAUACAGCUUGCUGGUAUUGUGUUGAGGAUACUGGUCUGUGGUUUUCUUUUCUUGUGGGAUCUUCGGCCCACUUUGGUGUCAGGGUAAUGUUGACCUUAUAGGAUGUGAUAUGAAGUGUUCCUUCCUCUUCUACUUUUUGAAAGAUUGUGAACAGGAUUAGUGUUAAAACCUGAAAUAUUUGGUAGAAUUCACUGAUGAACCCGAGCUGGGAGUUUUGAGUUGGGAGGUUUUGGCUUGUUGAUUCAAGCUCUUGUUACAGAUCUGUUCAAAAGAUCUUUUUCUUCUGGAGUCAGUUUUGGUAAUUUGCAUGUUUCUAGAAACUUCUCCAUUUCUUCAAGACCAUCUAAUUCAUUGGCAAAUAUAACUGUGUAUAGUGUUCUCUUAUAAUGCUUUUCAUUUCUGUAAGGUUGGUGGCAACAUCCCUGCUCUCAUUUCCAAUUUUAGCUGUGUGGGUUUUUUUUUAAUCCUUACUGAGUCUAGCUGAAGGUUUGUCCAUUUUGUGGAUCUUUUUAAAGAACCAACAAUUGGUUUUUAUUGAUUCUGUUUUUUUCCUAUUCUCUAUUACAUUUAUCUCUGCUUUAAGCUUAAUUCUUUCUUUCCUUUUUUUUUUUUUUUUUAUUUGGUCUUUUUGCCAUUUCUUGGGCCACUCCCACGGCAUACGGAGAUUCCCAGGCUAGGGGUCGAAUCGGAGUUGUAGCCACCGGCCUACGCCAGAGCCACAGCAACGUGGGAUCUGAGCUGCCACAGCUCACGGCAACGCCGGAUCCUUAACCCACUGAGCAAGGGCAGGGAUUGAACCCGCAACCUCAUGGUUCCUAGUCGGAUUCGUUAACCACUGCGCCACGACAGGAACUCCUCUUUCUUUGCUUCUGUUGGCUUUAAGGGUAGCCUACUCCUUUUUCUAGUUCCUCAGUGUGUAAAGUUAGGGUAUUGAUUUCAGAGAUGCCUUUUUAAUAUAGGUAUUUACAACUAUAAAUUUAACUCUGAAUGCUGCUUUCACUGUAUCCCAUAAAUUUGGGUAUUUUCUAAUUUCCCUAGCGAUUUCUUCUCUAGCCCUUUGGUUGUUUAAGUGUGUUGUUUCAUUUCCACGUGUUUACGGUCUUACCGGUUUUCCUUCUGUUUUUGAUUUCUAGCUUCAUUCAUUUGCUCAGAGCAGAUACCGUGAGUAAUUUCAAUCUUUUAAAAUUUAUUGAUAAUUGUCUGACGGCCUAAGAUAUGAUCUAUCCUGGAGAAUGUUCCAUCUACACUUGAGAAGAAUCUGUGUUCUCUUGUCAUGUAGCGUAUCCUGUGUAUGCCUUUUAGGUGUUACUCGAGCCUUCUGUUCCUUACAGAUGUAUUGUCUGUUUUAUCCAUUACUUAAACUGGGAUAUAGAAGUCUCCACCUAUUAUUGUAGAACUGUCCAUUUCUCUUUUCAACUUUGUCAACAUUUCCUUCAUAUUUUAUGGAGCUCUGUUGUUUUGUGUGUGUGUAUGUGUGUGUGUGUAUAAAUAUAUAUAUAAUUGUUGUAUCUUCUUGAUGAAUUGAUCCUUUUAUCAGUAAAAUGCCCUUGUCUCUCGUAACAGUUUUUCACUUAAAAUCUCCUUCGCCCGGUAUUAUAUAACCAUCUCCACUUUCCUUUGGCUAUUUGCAUUAAAUAUCGUUUUCCAUCCUUUCGCUUUCAACCUAUUUGUCUUUGGAUCUAAAUUGAGUCUCUUAUAAGCAGCAUCUAGCUAGAGCAUGUCUUUUUAAAAUCCACUUGGCUAGUAUCUAUCUUUUAAUUGGUGAGUUUAACCCGUUUACAUUUAAAGUGAUUACUGAUGAAGAAAUUUUUUUUCCUGCCACUGUGCUAUUUGUUUUCUACGUGUCAUAUCUCUUAUGUGCUUCAAUUCCUCCAAUACAGCCUUCAUUUGUGUUUGAUGGAUUUUUUUCCUAGUGUACCACGUUGAUUCCAUCUUCAUUUCCUUUUCUGUAUCUUAUUUUCUUAGUGGUUACCAUGGAGAUAGAGUUAACAUUCUCAAUUUAUAACAAUCUAGUUUGAUCUAUUUUUCUUUUCCUUUUAAAAAGACUGUAAUUUUAGAGCAGUUUUAGGUUCACAGCAAAGUUGAGCAGAAAGUACAGAGAAUUCCCAUAUACUCCCUGCCCCGCCUCCUCCACCUCACGCACACAGAGCCUCUCGUGUUAUCAACAUCCUACACCACAGUGGUCCAUUUGUUUCAACUGAUGAACCUACACUGAUACCAAAGUCCAGAGUUUACAUUAAGGUUCAUUCUUGAUGCUGUACAGUCUAUGGGUUUUGGUAAAUGUCUAAUGAAAUGUAUCUACCAUUGUAGUAUCACACAGAGAAGUUUCACUGCCCUAAAAACCCCGUUUCGCCUCUUCAUUCCCCCACCUCCAACUCCUGGUAACUACUAAUCUUGAUCACCCCUUUUAAAUAAUCAUAAUAGUCAACAUUUAUUGAGUGCAGACUUUGCAAUAAGGAUCGUGUCAGACACUUUUCAACAGCCUUAUGCAUUUCCCAUUUUCCAGAACCCAGAUCAAAGAAGUCAUCAGUCAUCCAAAGCCACCUAGCUACAAAGGGGCAGAGCUAGCAUUCAAACGGAGCUUGUCAGGCUCCAGAGACAGCUUUUUAUCAUUCGCUCCGCUGUCUUAAUGAAGAUGAAGAUGAUGGUGACGAUGGCGGUGGGAAUGGCAGCAGUGAUGGCAUCUAACAUUCAUGGAAGGAGUGCUUACGAUGGGUCAGGCACUGUGCCGGGUGCCUCAUCUAUCCAAUCUUGACACUUGUGCUGUGAAGGAGGAAUUACUACUGCUAUCGCCAUGUUAUAGAUGAGCAAACUGAGGCUCAGGUAAAAGAACCAUCUCCCUCAAAUGCACAGAACCUACUAAAGAGAGGCUGGUCACUAUGGCUGAAGACUUCAUUUUGACUACCCACCAUCUCUCUCUAGGGCUGAAGACGGCCAAGACACAGGACAAGGUCUUUGCCUGGAAAUGGCUUGGUUUUGGUUUUGGAAGUUCCAAACCCAGAGACUUCGACCUGAUGUUACCAGACUCUCUUUCACAAGAACACAUGGGGUCUGGCGGCACUGCUCUCCCACGGCGCAGGGGAGACUCGGCCCUUGGCGCUGCGGCUUCUUACUGCCUUUCUCAUCAUGGGAGGACAGCCCCAGCCUCUGGGUACACAACCAGGGCUCAGAAAUAGCCCCCUAAUCGGCCUCAUCAGCUUUGAAGGAGGCCACUGCAGGAGGGGCCUAAGUAGGCCAACACUUUAACCCAGUUACAUGAGGGCAGCUGUAAUCCGGGCUGAUCAUGUCUUGCUAAGCUCUCUCGGGGGGUGGGAAAAAUGUCCAAAAACUACUUCCUGUGCCCACGUAUCCCUGGGUCUCACGGUGGACACUCCUUCUCCUUCUGGAAGAGCUUGGCCUCAAGGCGACAAGGGCCGAGCUUAAUUAGAGUGGCGGCCAGGACUGAGGGAAGGUUGGUGGCGAUUUCCAAGGGCAGUGGAUGGCCAUGGCUUAGGCUCCCCUAGGUGCUGCCAAGGUGCCGCUUUUCCUUGAAAGGUCUGCUGCCUGACCCUUCUGCUACCUUGACUGGCCCUGGGAGUUCCCUGGGGAAGCGGGCUGAGCUGCCUGGCCAGGCUGUGGUUGGGAAAGAAACCCGAGCUGUUGGGGGGCGGUUGGCCUGGCUUGUCUGGCUCCCUCCCUGUCAGCUGGCAUGGUGGGCUCCCCUAGGCAGGUGCACUUGGCCUCCUCUCUCUCCCGGCCCCCAAAACAUUUGCCCCCCCAGGGACGGUUCAACAAAGUGGGCUUCCCGUGGUCAGGAAGCAGAAAGCUUGCCUGGCCUGGGUGGAUGCUGGCAGGGAAGAAAGAGAGCGGGGAGUGUCAGGAGACUCUCCGCUAAAAGUUGGUUUCCAAGUUUUCCCAAAUGGCUUUUCUCUACCGGGAAGGUGACUCUCACGAGGAAGAGGAAGAAGAAUCAAAAUUAUGACAGCGCUUCAGUGAUUCUAAGACCCCUGAGAUUGUACCGCUGAAAGAAAAAUAAGUGGCCGAUUCAACAGUGUCACGCCAUCGACGGUCCGGUGCAUCCCAAAUUUGGAGACAUUCAAAUGCUUUGUUCAGAAAGUGUCUCAAGAGUCCAUGAAAUAUCAGAGAACGCCUUAAAACUGAGGUACCACCUCUCUUUCACACCGCACCGACCCGCCGAAAUACAUAGGGCACAGGAAGGCACAGUGGACAAGUGUAGUCAAGACCCAAACCGACUUGUAUGCUCCGAGAAGCAGCCUGGAAACCACACUGUCUGCAAAGGGACCCCCUUACAUCAGACAGGACUUUGCAGUUUAUAAAGCCCUCUCACACCCAGGAUCUCGCUGACGUCUCCCAGCUGCCCUGGAGUUCAGAGAGGUCUGACUUUGACAGGAAUACCCAGGACCUAAGAGUGGACAGAGAGCUGGGACUACAGGCCCAACCGCUGAGUCCUACCACCAGGCUUUCCCAGUGACUACACGGGACAACCACUCUGCCAGAGAGGGUGGAGACAGAACUAGCGAGGGUGUGAUUAAGUGGCUUUUAAACCCUUUUUGCAAUGAAAUUAUUUGCAGAACCUCAAAGUACAAAGUGGAAUAAAAUUGGAUUUGUUC
rnacentral:lncRNA from 1 species